rnacentral:lncRNA from 1 species
UUAGUAAAAUAACAUUAAGAUUAGUGCACUUUCAAACUCAUAUUAGUUCACUUUUAACUAAUAUGUACAUGUAAAUUAUGAAUUACAUAAUACUAACAUAUUACAUUGGGCUUGAAGCCCCAAAAAGCUCUUAUAAAAAAGGAUCUUAGCUUGUCAUAUGUUUCAAACUCACUUUAGGCCCAACAUCAACACACUAAGCAUAUUCAUAUAGAAUGAUGUUCAUUUUGUUCGUUGUGUCUUACAUGUCUCGUCUCGCUAUCCAUUUGCUGAUAUCUUUACGAAAGGCCUUCUUCUGAUUCUAAUCUGUUAGAACACUUGUAAACGUAGCAAGAUUAGCUAGAAUCUUUUAGUACUAAUGUUUGUAUCUAUUAUUUGAUAGUUGCCACCAUAAUCAUAGUCUAGGAUUAUGGUAAGGUUAUGUAUAUGAAGGGCUGCGUUCGUUCAUUUAUGUUCGUGAACGUUCGGUAACGUGUACGUUUGUGUUCGAUGGUUCAUUAGUGUUUUUAGUUUUUGUAUUUUAUUUAAAUACUUCAAAAAUCCGACAAAUAAAAUAUUUAAUAAGUGUUAAGUGUAUUGUUUGUGUCCGUUUGUUUCCAUUUGUGUUCAUGAACAUUAACAAACAAACAAACAAACACAAACGAACACGAACAAGUUUAUUUCCUUAACAAACGAACACGAACAUAAAAUCUCGUUCGGUAAGUGUUCAUGAGCAGUUCGUUUAUAUUUCUUAACAAACGAACACGAACAAGGUCUUGUUCGUGUUC